GUCUACAGCUAUACCACCCUGAAUGCACCCCAUCUUGUCUGAUCUUGGAAGCUAAGCAGGGUCGGGCCUGGUUAGUACUUGGAUGGGAGAAAGGGAGAAAGGGUAACACUGUUUAAA
ensembl:rRNA 5S_rRNA 5S ribosomal RNA